UACGUAGGGUGCGAGCGUUGUCCGGAAUUAUUGGGCGUAAAGAGCUCGUAGGCGGUUUGUCGCGUCGGCCGUGAAAACUUGGGGCUUAACCCCAAGCCUGCGGUCGAUACGGGCAGACUUGAGUUCGGCAGGGGAGACUGGAAUUCCUGGUGUAGCGGUGAAAUGCGCAGAUAUCAGGAGGAACACCGGUGGCGAAGGCGGGUCUCUGGACAUUUCCUGACGCUGAGGCACGAAAGCCAGGGGAGCAAACGGG
rnacentral:rRNA from 1 species